GAUGAACGCUGGCGGCGUGCCUAAUACAUGCAAGUCGAGCGAACAGACGAGGAGCUUGCUCCUUUGAUGUUAGCGGCGGACGGGUGAGUAACACGUGGGUAACCUACCUAUAAGACUGGGAUAACUUCGGGAAACCGGAGCUAAUACCGGAUAAUAUUUCGAACCGCAUGGUUCGAUAGUGAAAGAUGGCUUUGCUAUCACUUAUAGAUGGACCUGCGCCGUAUUAGCUAGUUGGUAAGGUAACGGCUUCCAAGGCAACGAUACGUAGCCGACCUGAGAGGGUGAUCGGCCACACUGGAACUGAGACACGGUCCAGACUCCUACGGGAGGCAGCAGUAGGGAAUCUUCCGCAAUGGGCGAAAGCCUGACGGAGCAACGCCGCGUGAGUGAUGAAGGUCUUCGGAUCGUAAAACUCUGUUAUUAGGGAAGAACAAACGUGUAAGUAACUGUGCACGUCUUGACGGUACCUAAUCAGAAAGCCACGGCUAACUACGUG
rnacentral:rRNA from 1 species